rnacentral:misc_RNA from 1 species
UCUCCGUAGGUGAACCUGCGGAGGGAUCAUUACUGAGUGAGGGCUUCGGUCCGACCUCCAACCCUUUGUGAACCAAACUUGUUGCUUCGGGGGCGACCCUGCCGCUUCGGCGGUGCGGCGCCCCGGAUGCCAAUUAUUAAACUCUGCAUCUCUUGCGUCGGAGUCUUAAAGAAAUUUAAACAAAACUUUCAACAACGGAUCUCUUGGUUCCAGCAUCGAUGAAGAACGCAGC